AGUGCUGGUAGCCUUCGACGGGGAUGAGGGCGUCGUGACGCGGCUCCGGGUGCCCGCUGAUCCCGGGCACCACCGACACGUCCAGGUAGCCGGGCAUCGCCUGGUAGGAGCUGGCGAAGCUGGGGUAGAAGGCGAACUCCUUGGCCCUAGAGGACAGGUCGUCACCGGGCAGGGCGCCCGACGGCUCCGGGUAUUUAUCGCCCGGGUGGUAGGCGCAAGGCUUCUGCUGCAGGUUCACGUUGUGCGACAGGCGGCAGCCGUAGUAGCUGCCCCCGAAGGGGUAGCCGUAGCCCAGGGUGGCGCUGGACGAGGUGGGGGGUGCGGGCGGCGGGGCACACUGGCGCGCCGCCUCCGGGGCCGGGAUGUCCGUAUAGACGGCGCCCUGAGGGGCGCCCAGGGGAGCCGGCGGGCGGCCCAGCACGGGGUGCGGAAGCAGGUCGCGGCAGUGGCUGGCCGGGCAGCUGCUGCCCAGACCAUCCAUGCUCGGGGCUUUGCCGGGGCUCGCUCCGCUGCAGCCACCCCCCGCUCCGCCCGUGCCGCCGCCUCCUCCUCCGCCGCCGCCGCCGAUGCCGCUCUCCGCCGCGCUGUCCUCAUAGACGUACAUAAGGCUCUCCGGCCAGCGUGGAUGCAGGAGCAGCGAAGUCGUCAUGACAUGAUCUGCUGGAGCUUUUUAAAAACUCCACUUGCCAGAGGCAGCGAGCUAGGGAGACACCUCGCUCCUGUUUCCCCUCCCCCCAUCCCUCCCCUCUUUUCUCUCCACCCCUCCCCUCCUCCUAGUGCUUCCACCUCCCUCCCUACAUUCCCUCUACGCAUGCGGAGACACUUCAUUAAGAAAUCCGCCGGCUCCCGCUCUCCACCUCUCAGCACCCCUCCCGCGCCCACGUGACCCGCUCUGCGCACGUGAUGCCCCGGCCAGGUCUCCUGGGGUUCCCUCCCCUCGAGGUGGGGCGGGGCGAAAGGGAAAAAGUCUGUGCUGAUUGGAUCUCAGGUUUUAAAUGCUGAGUGCUCGUGUGCAGCCAGCGCACAGACCAUGGCCACAGAGCAGCGCCUCGCUCAGCCAGACCUACUGCACCCCUCAAGUGGAGAGCAAAUGGACAGGUCUGCAGAAACCCCUUCGGGCCACCUCCCUCCUCUUUGUGGGGAGAAGGUGGUGUUUGACGGUUGAGAGCACCCGGACAUCGGAGCACUAUGCGGCCAAAAUUUAGUGGCGAGAAGAAAGAAAGGGAACCAUAGUCCUCUUCCUCAAGAAGACCAGCCGAAGUUGUAGGCCCCUAAAGCGACUUGGAGGAGUGGGAAGGCUGGAGGGGAAAGUUUGGGCUAAGGGCGCUAAAGGCGGCUGGGGAAGUCCGCUUGCUCUGAACAAUUCCCUCUUCUUUUGCUUGGUUCCCCAAGACCUUUCGCGCCUGCAAACGCAGUCUCCAAGUCUGGGGCGAGCCGGGAUCGGGAAGGGAGGCGCCGAGGCAAGAGCCUGCAGGAGGGCGGUGGAAAGUAAAGCCUUGCUGGUUAAUUAACUUUAAGCCUGGGGUGGUUUCUUCCCCCUCCCCCGAAAAAAAAAUGUGGAUCUCGCUGAGACACAAGUAAAAUCAAAUUAAACACUCCAGGAGAAUAUGCACCACUAGAAACGUAGUAAUUACAUCUCCAAGGCGAUCUCGCCCUAGAAAGCCUUUCCAGGGCCUGGCGCUGAAACCCUCGGCUGCGGUGCUCACCCGGGCGCGCCCCGCCGGCCUUCGGGGAUGAGGCAGUGAGGUUUGACUGUGGAUGAAGUUUAGAGAAAAUCCAGCUGCUGGUAUGCGGAGAAAGACGGAGCAUUUAAUUAUACGAAAGGAAAAUGGAAAACGGCUCCUCAGCCUCGUCGGGAAGCCCCGGCUCUGCUCUCGGCUGCUUUUUCAAAGGGACUUCUACAACCGCGGAGCGGCAGAAGCCACUCUGCCCUCAGCUACAGCUCAUGAACCAAGCUCUCGGCUAAGUUCAACUCUGAAAUGUUUUCUUUUAAAUGAUCCAACACAGAAAGGAGAUAUUUAAUAUGCUUUUUCACGGGAAGCGUCUGUGUAUGUGCGUGUGCGCGUGCGCUUGCGUGCCUGUGAGUUUAGGGAUGGGUGCAGGCUGCCUGCACCGUUUCAGCACACGGCCUUGUGGACACAGCCCAAAUGAGUUCCUAAAGAUACCCAGCUCUCUGCCUAAAUCCUCUGUAUGCAAAUAAAGGUCUCUGCUUGUCUGUCUGUAUACACUUUUAAUUUACAUGUUCUUCCUACGCUACUUACAAAGACAUCCCCCAGGAAAAUAUAGAAAAAUGAAGAAGC
rnacentral:lncRNA from 1 species